rnacentral:rRNA from 1 species
UGCAGUCGAGCGAAUGAAGAGGAGCUUGCUCCUCAGAUUUAGCGGCGGACGGGUGAGUAACACGUGGGUAAUCUGCCUGUAAGACGGGGAUAACUCCGGGAAACCGGGGCUAAUACCGGAUAAUAAGAAGAAACGCAUGUUUCUUUUUUGAAAGUCGGCAUCUCGCUGACACUUACAGAUGAGCCCGCGGCGCAUUAGCUAGUUGGUGAGGUAACGGCUCACCAAGGCGACGAUGCGUAGCCGACCUGAGAGGGUGAUCGGCCACACUGGGACUGAGACACGGCCCAGACUCCUACGGGAGGCAGCAGUAGGGAAUCUUCGGCAAUGGGCGAAAGCCUGACCGAGCAACGCCGCGUGAGCGAUGAAGGCCUUCGGGUCGUAAAGCUCUGUUGUUAGAGAAGAACAAGUACGAGAGUAACUGCUCGUACCUUGACGGUACCUAACCAGAAAGCCACGGCUAACUACGUGCCAGCAGCCGCGGUAAUACGUAGGUGGCAAGCGUUAUCCGGAAUUAUUGGGCGUAAAGCGCGCGCAGGCGGUCUCUUAAGUCUGAUGUGAAAGCCCACGGCUCAACCGUGGAGGGUCAUUGGAAACUGGGAGACUUGAGUGCAGGAGAGAAAAGUGGAAUUCCACGUGUAGCGGUGAAAUGCGUAGAGAUGUGGAGGAACACCAGUGGCGAAGGCGGCUUUUUGGCCUGUAACUGACGCUGAGGCGCGAAAGCGUGGGGAGCAAACAGGAUUAGAUACCCUGGUAGUCCACGCCGUAAACGAUGAGUGCUAGGUGUUGGGGGGUUCCACCCUCAGUGCUGAAGUUAACACAUUAAGCACUCCGCCUGGGGAGUACGACCGCAAGGUUGAAACUCAAAGGAAUUGACGGGGGCCCGCACAAGCAGUGGAGCAUGUGGUUUAAUUCGAAGCAACGC